rnacentral:rRNA from 1 species
GAUGAACGCUAGCGGCAGGCUUAACACAUGCAAGUCGAGGGGUAUAGUUCUUCGGAGCUAGAGACCGGCGCACGGGUGCGUAACGCGUAUGCAAUCUACCUUUUGCAGAGGGAUAGCCCAGAGAAAUUUGGAUUAAUACCUCAUGGUAUGUGAGAAUGGCAUCAUUUUCACAUUAAAGUCACAACGGCAAAAGAUGAGCAUGCGUCCCAUUAGCUAGUUGGUAAGGUAACGGCUUACCAAGGCAACGAUGGGUAGGGGUCCUGAGAGGGAGAUCCCCCACACUGGUACUGAGACACGGACCAGACUCCUACGGGAGGCAGCAGUGAGGAAUAUUGGACAAUGGGCGCAAGCCUGAUCCAGCCAUGCCGCGUGCAGGAUGACGGUUCUAUGGAUUGUAAACUGCUUUUGUACAGGAAGAAACACUCCUACGUGUAGGAGCUUGACGGUACUGUAAGAAUAAGGAUCGGCUAACUCCGUGCCAGCAGCCGCAGUAAAAC